rnacentral:rRNA from 1 species
AGAGUUUGAUCAUGGCUCAGAUUGAACGCUGGCGGCAUGCCUUACACAUGCAAGUCGAACGGCAGCGCGGGGCAACCUGGCGGCGAGUGGCGAACGGGUGAGUAAAAUAUCGGAACGUGCCCUAGAGUGGGGGAUAACGUAGCGAAAGUUACGCUAAUACCGCAUACGAUCUAUGGAUGAAAGUGGGGGAUCGCAAGACCUCAUGCUCCUGGAGCGGCCGAUAUCUGAUUAGCUAGUUGGUAGGGUAAAAGCCUACCAAGGCUUCGAUCAGUAGCUGGUUUGAGAGAACGACCAGCCACACUGGAACUGAGACACGGUCCAGACUCCUACGGGAGGCAGCAGUGGGGAAUUUUGGACAAUGGGGGCAACCCUGAUCCAGCAAUGCCGCGUGAGUGAAGAAGGCCUUCGGGUUGUAAAGCUCUUUUGUCAGGGAAGAAAAGGUGGACUCUAACAUAGUCCGCUGAUGACGGUACCUGAAGAAUAAGCACCGGCUAACUACGUGCCAGCAGCCGCGGUAAUACGUAGGGUGCAAGCGUUAAUCGGAAUUACUGGGCGUAAAGCGUGCGCAGGCGGUUAUAUAAGUCGGAUGUGAAAU